GUGGGGGAUAUUGCACAAUGGAGGAAACUCUGAUGCAGCGACGCCGCGUGAGUGAAGAAGUAUUUCGGUAUGUAAAGCUCUAUCAGCAGGGAAGAUAAUGACAGUACCUGACUAAGAAGCCCCGGCUAACUACGUGCCAGCAGCCGCGGUAAUACGUAGGGGGCAAGCGUUAUCCGGAUUUACUGGGUGUAAAGGGAGCGUAGACGGAAUGGCAAGUCUGAAGUGAAAUCCUGCGGCUUAACUGCAGAAUUGCUUUGGAAACUGUCAAUCGGGAGUGUUGGAGAGGUGAGCGGAAUGCCUGGUGUAGCGGUGAAAUGCGUAGAUAUCAGGAAGAACACCGGAGGGGGAGGCGGCUUACUGGACAAUAACUGACGGUGAGGCUCGAAAGCGUGGGAAGCAAACAGGAUUAGAUACCCUGGUAGUCC
rnacentral:rRNA from 1 species